rnacentral:misc_RNA from 1 species
CCGAGUUUACAACUCCCAAACCCCUGUGAACAUACCUUUAUGUUACCUCGGCGGAUCAGCCCGCGCCCCGUAAAACGGGACGGCCCGCCGCAGGAAACCCUAAACUCUGUUUUUAGUGGAACUUCUGAGUAUAAAAAACAAAUAAAUCA